rnacentral:lncRNA from 1 species
CGUUUCCCAGGUAUGCCCUUGGGAUUUGUCCAAAAGACAAGAGAGUGCAAAAUUUUGUAGGUGAUAAGGAGCUCCCAGAGCGUCAGAAGGUGACAUCUGGUCUUUGAGUUAAAUUUCCAAAACUACUCGUUGUAGCGCGACUAAAAAUAAAAAUUUCUCACUGGAGCUGAGCUUGCCAUGUUUGAUUCGAUUCCACGCGUUUCCUUUGCUGGACAUUCACUUCUGUAAAGCACUCAACACAGGCGCUCUUCAACUUCCUCGAAAUUACAUGUAAAGCUUUAAAGGCACUUUAAACUAAAAUUGUGAUUUUCCCACUAACGUUUUUAUGAAAAAUUACAAAUAAAUUUUGAGAUUGAUUCCGAUUGAAGUGUUUUUACUUUUCUAAACGGUUGUAUUAAAAAUACUUUUAAUAUAAGAAACCUACAAAGAUUUAAUACAUGCAAGGCAUUUUUAAUUUUUUUCAUAAAAGUUAAAUAUGUAACAUUUUUUUUAAAUUUCGAAAAUCACUUAAAAUGUCUUGGACCAUCAUUCGAUAGCCCACUGUGGACCCCGCAUUUCGGCUCAAUGCGUUUCCCACUCGAUGGCGAAACUCGAUUUUGAUUUCGAAAAAUUGAUCUUUAUUGAUUAAGAAAAAUGACUUGGAGUCGCCACUUAUUUUUGUUUUAUUUUUAAAGGGUAAACAAAAUAAGAAAGAAAAACCCUAAGUGUGACUCCUUAUUUUGGAAAAGGCGGUCUGUGAAAAACCGGAUCGGGUUCGGGGGUCAGGUUACUUAUCGAGAAGGUACGGUAAAGACCGUAGCACCCCUCUAAGUCCCUAAAGUCGGGUCUCUACUAAUAAAAUGAAGCUGACAUGACAAUCAAUAGGAAAAUCAAUGGAUACUAGAGUCGAUUAUGUACAUAUAGGAAUCAAAACAUGCAUAGAGAAUGACUAGAAUAGGAACGUAUGCAUACCUGGGCCACGAACGAGCGAUGCGCUAUCAUAAAAGCAGAGUCAGUGCACAAUAUAGAGCACGAAAUAUAUCACAUGCAUUACCAAACAUAAAUUAAAAUUGUUCGCAGGAAAAACUAGCUUUUUGAAAUUCAUUUUGAAAAUCGGAGUCUUAGAGAUUAUUUGAAAAUUGGGUUUUUAGAAAUUAAAUAUAAAAAUGAGAAUUUUAGAAAUUAAAUUUGAAAGGAAUUGGAAUUUCAGAGAACUAAGUUUGGGAAUCGGAAUUUUGAAGAAUUAUUUAAAGACGGAAUUUUAAUAAAUAAAUAAGUGGAUAAAUAAAUGAAUGGAAUAAUAAUAAUGAUGAAAUUUUGGGAAAUUAUUUGGAGAUGAGAUUUUAAAUGUAUGAAUAAGUGAAUAAAUAAAUGAACGGGAUAAUAAUAAUAACGAAAAUAAUCAUUAAACAGUUGAAUGUGAAUAGUGGAAUUUUUGAGAUUGAAAAUUAAAUUUGGAAAACAGAAUUUUGAAAAAUAGAACUUUAAUUAUUCGAAUUUGUAAAAUAAAUUAAUGGAAUGAUAAUAAUAAUAAUGAGAAUAAUAUUUAAACGAAUGAACGUGAAUAGAGGAAUCUUUGAGAUUGAAAAUUAAAUUCGGAAAUCAGAUUUUUCAAGAAUUGAAUUUUAAUGAUUUGAAUUUUAAAAAGAAAUAAAUAAAUAAAUAUGGAAUAAUAAUAAUAAUAAUAACAAAAAUAAUGGUUAAGCGAAUGAACGUGAAUAGUGGAAUUUUUUUAGAUUGAAAAUUAAAUUCGGAAGUAAGAUUUUUGAAUAAUUAAACCUUAAUGAUUUGAAUUUUUAAAAGCAAUAAGUAAAUAAAUAUGGAAUGAUAAUAAUAAUAACAAAAAUAAUGUUUAAACGAAUGAACGUGAAUAGUGGAAUUUUUGAGAUUGAAAAUUAAAUUCGAAAAAGGGAAUUUUGAAAAAUUGAACUUUAAUUAUUGGAAUUUGUAAAAUAAAUUAAUGGAAUAAUAAUGCUAAUUAACGGAAAUAAUAUUUAAACGAACAAAAUGAAUAGUGAAAUUUUUUGGAUUGAAAAUUAAAUUAGGACACUGGAUUUUUGAAGAAUUGGAUUUUAAUGAUCAAAAUAAUAAAUAAAUAUGGGGUAAUAAUACUAAUUAACGAGAACAGUAUUUAAACGAGUAAAAAUGAAUAGUGGAAUUUUGGGAUUAAAAGUUAAAUUAGGACGCUAGAUUUUUGAAGAAUUGGAUUUUAAUGAUCAAAAUAAUAAAUAAAUAUGGAGUAAUAAUACUAAUUAAUGAAAAUAAUAUUUAAACGAGUAAAAAUAAAUAGUGAAAUUUUUGGGAUUAAAAGUUAAAUUAGGACAUCAGAUUUUUUUAAUAACUGAACUUGAAUAAUUUGAAUUUUUAAAUGAAAUAAUUAAAUAAAUAUGGGAUAAUAAUAAUAACGAUAAUAAAUAAUAUUUAAACGGAUGAAAGUGAAUGAUGGAAUUUUUGAGAUUGAAUAUUAAAUUAGGAAGUCAAAUUUUUGAAUAACUAAACUUGAAUGAUUUGAAUUUUUAAAUGAAAUAAUUAAAUAAAUAUUGAAUAAUAAUAAUAAUAAUAAUAAUAAUAACUAAAUAAACGAGUGUGAAAAAUUGGAAUUGUGGGAAUUGGAGAUUAGAAUUUGGAAUCCGGAACUUGGAGGAAUUAUUUAAAUGGGUACACAAUAAACUAGAAACAUACAUAAUACUAAAUAAGUAAAAAGAUAAAACUCAUGUCUUAUAUGCUAACACUUGGACCAUAAAGAGGCUUGGGGUUUUUUUAUUGUUACCCCAAGAACAUUCCUUUGGCUUGCACGUGGCCAUUAACUUUUUGCAACCAAUUAAAUAAUCUUUUCCCUCACACUCUCCUUCUUCCACAAGAAUUAUUACAGAAUUCCACAGUAUUUAUUUCUACAGAGAUACACUAUAUAUCACCAAUCUUCAACAUCAAAACUGAAAAUAUCAACUAUGAAAACGACAUCUGAACUGAACAUGACAAAAUCACCCAAAGAUGCACACACAACAUUCAACGUCAAACGCAAAAAUUAUAUUAACUAUCAAGGCAAGAGACGAGCUGAAAAUGAUAUAAUCACCCACAGAUGCCCACACUUCGCGGCCCCCGCAGCGUCGAAAACCGGAGGAAAUUCAAAGACAACCAAGGCAUAUAGAAUCAUUUUUUUGCAGUGGAAGGCCGGGUUUCGAGCAAAAUUACUUUUGAAGCCUGGAAACUCUGAAAAAUCAAAAGCUAAAGCUUCUGCUCAUAUCCACCAUUGAGGCAAGAAAGUGGAGAAGAAGGCAGAGCAUGCAUAUAUAUAUAUGUAAAAGAAAACUGUUGGGUCUUGCCUCAUUCCACAGAUGCUGCCGGGAGGGGUUUCAAAAAUCAAAUGCAAUGACGAGUCUACACUCGGGAUAUCCCAAAACAAGAAGCAAAAAUGCACAAGUGGUCUCCAGAUAUCAAAGGGAUCCGCAAAUGACUAAAAAAAAAAAACAGAGGAAAACAGUUCAAAACAGGGGAGAAGCAAAAUAAAUUAGAAUCAUACCUGAACCCAGAGAAGUCAGGGUGAGUGGAUCCUCAGAUCCUUUUCCUUUCUCGUUUUCCCCCCGGAUAUCUUCCUUCUUGCAGCCUCUAAAAUCCCUCAGUUUCCUCUGUUUUUCCCUCCGAGCUCUCCCUCUCUCUCCCUCCGGAUUCCCUUCCUUUCUCUCCUUUUUCUUUUCUCUCGUGUCUUCCUCAGCAAGCCAGCCGUAUCCCCGUCCCAUCUGCCAGCCCAAAAGCUCUGCCUUCUCCCCCCCCUUUUCACUUCCAGCCGUCCUCGGGUGGAUAAAGAAAGCAGCAAAAAAGGAGAAAAAAAAGAAAAUCAAUGCAAAAAAAAACCUGCCCCCAGUUGAGGGGGUCUACAAAUAUGCCCCUCUUCGGUAGAGUUUACAAAUGUAAGGAAUAUGAACACUAGAGUGAAAAGAAAGUGUGAAUAAUGAGUGUAAUGAAGUGAACUCUACCGAAGAACCAAAGAGACCCCCACAGGGACACUAGUAAAAUAAGAACUCACUCAAGCCAAACAGAUGAACACAAAGGCUCUAACCCUAAAAGAAAAACGCAUCUCAAAACGCCUCUAAGGUUGCACCAAGGAUCCACACUCUCUCUAAGAUGUCUCCAAAAGUAACCCAAGAGAUCAAUGUCAAAGAUGAGUAACGGUCGAACCACCCUGGAGUACGAGCAAGAAUGCGCCCAAAGGGGACUACCCUAUGUGGACUACGAGAUGAAUAAGCAAUAAGCACAGGAUAACGGAGUGAGGAAAAACCGAGGGAGAAUGUAAAACCAUGAAGGUAAGAUGCGCAAAGCCUGUGGAUAUGAACGCCAGGAGUUGUGACUCUGGAUGACAAGGCCGACUCUAGUCACUAAACUGAGAAAAUAAAAGCUCUGGAAGCCAACAAAAAAAAAAAAAAACUAACUCUAAAAGCUAAACUAGAAAAUAACAGCCCUGGAAGCCAACCAAAAACUAACUCUAAAAGCUAAACUAGAAAAUAACAGCUUUGGAAGCCAAACCAAAAACUAACUCUAAAAGCUAAACUAGAAAAUAACAGCUCUGGAAGCCAACAAAAACUAACUCUAAAAGCUAAACUAGAAAAUAACAGCUUUGGAAGCCAAACCAAAAAAAUAACUCUAAAAGCUAAACUAAAAAAUAACAACUCUGGAAGCCAACAAAAACUAACUCUAAAAGCUAAACUAGAAAAUAACAGCUUUGGAAGUCAAACCAAAAAAUAACUCUAAAAGCUAAACUAGAAAAUAACAGCUCUGGAAGCCUAAACAAGACGACAAUGAUGGCUUUGGAAGCCUAAACAAGACGACAGUGAUGACUCUGGAAGCCUAAACGAGAUGAUAGUGAUGGCGGUAAUGGCUCUGGAAGCCUAAGCAAGAUGACGGUAAUGGCUCCGGAGGCCUAAGCAAGAAGAUGGUGAUGGCUCCGGAGGCCUAAGCAAGAAGAUGGUGAUGGCUCUGGAAGCCUAAACCGAAAAUAGUGAUGGUUAUGAAUGCCAAAAUUGAGAAGCGAUGAUGGCUCUGAACGCCAAAACUGAAAAUAGUGAUGGCUCUGAACGCCGAACUGAAAAUAGUGAUGGCUCUGAACACCAAAACUGAAAAGCGAUGAUGGCUUUGAACGCCAAAACUGAAAAUAGUGAUGGCUCUGAACGCCAAAACUGAAAAGCAAUGAUGGCUCUGAACGCCAAACUAAAAAGCGAUGAUGGCUCUGAACGCCAAAACUGAAAAUAGUGAUGGCUCUGAACGCCGGAGCUGAGAAAUGAUGAUGAUGACUCUGAAUGUUGAUCUGAAAACCGAUAAUGGCUCUGAACGCCGAAACUGCAAACACGGUGAUGGCUCUGAACGCCGAAACUGAAAAGUGAUGAUGGUGACCCUGAACGUCAAACUGAAAAAAUAAUAGCUCUGGAAGCCUAAUCAAAAAGCUAACGCUAAACACUAAACUAGAAGAAUAAUGGCUCUGGAAGCCAAACAAAAAAACUAACUCUAAAUGAUAAACUGAGAAAAUAAUAGCUCUGGAAGCCAAACCAAAGAGCUAACUCUAGACACCAAACUAGAAGAAUAAUGGCUCUGGAAGCCAAACCAAAAAAAUAACUCUAACUGCUAAACUGAGAAAAUAAUAGCUUUGACAGCCAAACCAAAAAGCCAACUCUAAACACUAAACGAUAAGACCCAUAGGUGAAGACCUACGGUGGUGAUAAAUCUGAAACAAAGGGAGAUGCCCUAAGCGAACUGACGGUAGGGGAAUGCCCUAAACAAACUGAAAAUAAGAGGAUGCCCUAAACAGACCAAAAAUAGGGGGAUGCCCUAAACAAGAUGACGGUAGGGGGAUGCCCUAAACAAGAUGACGGUAGGGGGAUGCCCUAAACAAGAUGACGGUAGGAGGAUGCCCUAAACAAGAUGACGGUAGGGGGAUGCCCCAAACGUAAAUGACAGUGGGGGGAUGCCCCAAAAGAAAAUGACAGUGGGGGAUGCCCCAAACGUAAAUGACAAUGGGGGGAUGCCCCAAACGUAAAUGACAGUGGGGGGAUGCCCCAAAAGAAAAUGACAGUGGGGGAUGCCCCAAACGUAAAUGACAAUGGGGGGAUGCCCCAAACGUAAAUGACAGUGGGGGAUGCCCCAAACGUAAAUGACAGUGGGGGAUGCCCCAAACGUAAUGACAGUGGGGGGAUGCCCUAAACGUAAUGACAGUGGGGGGAUGCCCCAAACGUAAAUGACAAUGGGGGGGAUGCCCCAAACGUAAUGACAGUGGGGGGAUGCCCCAAAAGAAAAUGACAGUGGGGGAUGCCCCAAAAGAAAAUGACAGUGGGGGGAUGCCCCAAACAAAAAACUCUAAAGGGGGUAUGCCCCAGUAUGACGACUCGCAAAGAUCAAGAAAUGGACUGAGUAGUGAGAAAGAUGUGCAAAAAAGCCGAUGUACUCAAAGACGGGGGUAUACCCCAGUGUGGCAUGCCACUGCAAAUCUCAAUCCGCUGGAAAUGGCUGAAAGGGACUCUAUGAGUCUCGAACGACGCUCCGCUGAGAGCUCAUAUCGAUGAAAAGCUCAGGAACAAUGGUCAGUGAGGCGAAUACAAUAUAUCUCGAUCGAGUGAUGGAAACUGUAACGGAUAUGUGAGAGAACGAUCGCCUCCAGGGCUAAAUGAAGGCAAUAUGCCCCAGUAUGACAUCGGAUGUACCCGAUCUGUCCUGAUGACCCGAGAAUAACACCAAUGGGACGCGUAACGGAUCUGAUAUGUACCCCUCUGAAAUGAUGACGCGGGAAAUCCAGGCACCAGAGACAACUCCAUCCAGGAAUCACGACUAUAUCAAAGGGUAUGAAUCUGGCUGAAUGACUCAAGAGAGGCUCCUCGGAGUAUCUAGACAAAAUGAAAUCAAACAUCGACCUGGCGUGUAUCUCAUAAUCGUGGAUGAUCAUGUAAACCAGUGGGGAUCUAUAAAUCUCGAUCAAGAUGGGGAAUGUGCCCCAAUGUGGCAUCGAAAUGUAUGAUAGGUCGGAGAUCAGAUAGCAUGAAAUCAUCUAUCCUCGAACAUGUGACCUCUGUGAAGAUCCAUAAAGAUCCUCCAAAACGGAAUAUGCCCCAGUAUGGCGUCAGGUGUACGACAGGUCAGAAAAAUAAAUGACGUGAAAUCACCUAUCGUCGCACAUGUAACCUCUGUGAAGAUCUGUAAAUCUCAUCUGGAACGGAAAUAUGCCCCAGUAUGGCAUCAGGUGCGCGACAAGCCCGAAGAACAACAUGACAUGAAGUCAUCUAUCGUCGAACAUGUAAUACUGGUCAUCCGAAUCCAUAACUGAAUCGUGCACACAUAUCCAAGAUGACCUCCCAAAUGGAGAGGCAUGAUGGCAUCUAAGUGUCGAGAAGUGCGAAACUAGCUGGAUGGAUCUUAGGGGCUCCGUAGGGUAACGACCAUGUCCACAUCUCAGUGAGCAUCCAGUAAGUGAUAAUGAUCGUGCAGAUCUGUGAGGAUCCAUAAACCUCCAAAUGAAAUGGGAUAUGCCGCAGUGUGGCGCCAGAGGUACGAUAGGUCAAAAAAACAGGUGACACCAAGUCAAUCAUCGUCAAACUCACGAUCCCGGUAAUCUGAACACAACUGAAUCAGACCUACACAUCAAAGAGGCGACUCCCAGAAGAAGAAGCAUGACAAUAUCUAAAUAUCAACCAGAUCUCAAUCACCUGUCCAAGUAGAGGCUGCUGAAGACGACAUCUGAUCCCAUGGCCUCAGGGUGGUCUUAAGACAAGGGGACGUAACGUAGGCCAAGGUGAUAGGGUGAUAGAAACGAGAGAAAACUAGGCUCAAAUACCCAAUGAUCAAAACUCAUGCCCUCAUAUAUGAAAUGCAACAUGUAUAGUGAACCUCAUGAGCCAUGGACCUGAGGAUGCCUAACGUGAAUAUGAUAUCGAUAAAGAGACAAAUGAAACAGGAUGAACUGAUAGUGUUAUGUGUAAUGAUGAUGCGAAAUGAGCAUCGAACCUGAGAUGGGUCGCUGUAAGGAGAGAAUAAGACGCGAAGAGAAUGAGAUGAAUCACAAGCAAUGAUAAAAAUGAUAGCGAAACAAUGAAUACGUGAAGAGAAGUGGUGAUCGACUCAGAUCAAACAUGAAGUGAAGUCACAUCAAUAAUGAAUGUAAUGAUGGAAAGGACAAUGACUCGGAGUCCUUAGGAGAAGGUCACUCAUCUCUCUCACAAAUAGAUAUGACGAAGCAAUACAAAUAACAUGGGAUCUCAGAGAGCUCACAUACGAACUCCCAAUAACGAACAUACUCGAUAAAAAUGACCCCCAGACAUCAAUAUACAUACCCAAUGAUCGUGAACACUAUGCACAUACACACAUGUGCUAAUAAUAAUAAUAAUAAUAAUUUUUUUUUUUUUUUUUUUUUUUUUUUUUUUUUUUUUUUUUACAUAUAUACAAAUACGCGUACCCUGAACGUGAACAAAUGAACCCCAAAGAUGAUAUCGAUAACAAAUGAACACACCCCCAAGUGAUAAGGCAACCCAAAACUCUCUCUAACGAGAUGACCUUCUCAAACUAAGGAUCUCUAAACCAAUGUCCGUGAGAUAGAUGAUGGAAAUGAUGUGACUAUCCUCCAUGUGAUGAACUGAGGAGGCUCACCACUCAGGGUGGAGAGAAUAUGAGACAAACAAAUAGUAGAUAGGAUAAAAAAAAAAGAGAUGAAUAACCCCCCCCCAUAAAAAUGAGAUGAAAAUGCAGAGGUGCAGUGAUAGGAAAAGAUAAUGAGAAAAACUUGCCCCUAGGGNNNNNNNNNNNNNNNNNNNNNNNNNNNNNNNNNNNNNNNNNNNNNNNNNNNNNNNNNNNNNNNNNNNNNNNNNNNNNNNNNNNNNNNNNNNNNNNNNNNNCAUAUAUACAAAUACGCGUACCCUGAACGUGAACAAAUGAACCCCAAAGAUGAUAUCGAUAACAAAUGAACACACCCCCAAGUGAUAAGGCAACCCAAAACUCUCUCUAACGAGAUGACCUUCUCAAACUAAGGAUCUCUAAACCAAUGUCCGUGAGAUAGAUGAUGGAAAUGAUGUGACUAUCCUCCAUGUGAUGAACUGAGGAGGCUCACCACUCAGGGUGGAGAGAAUAUGAGACAAACAAAUAGUAGAUAGGAUAAAGAAGAAGAGAUGAAUAACACAACCAAUAAGAUGAGAUGAAAAUGCAGAGGUGCAGUGAUAGGAAAAGAUAAUGAGAAAAACAUGCCCCUAGGUCCAAGGCUCAUGAAACUACCAAACAAUGCAUGCAUACAUUAAAGGGCCCCUACCCCGGUGUGAAAACGUGAGCAAGGCGAUAAGAAAGAAAUGCUAUAAUGCGCAUGCGAGGCUCAAUGGGCUAGCAACGGACUAUGUAUCAAAAGGGAAUAACAAGGUAAUGGCUAACCGAAAUGAUGGCCACCCAUCCUGCGACCAUGGUCUCAAACAUAGUACCUCUUUAGCUGAUCCACAUUGGUUGGCUCUGAGAAUCGGUUUCCAUCUAAAUCCAUCAACCAUGCAGCGCCCUCUAGGGUCAACUCCCUGAUGAAAUAAGGUCCGCUCCAGUUGGGUCUGAACUUCCCUCUAGGAUCUCUGAUCAAUCCCCUGAUGACUUUCAGAACUAAGUCACCUAUCUAUAAUGGUCUGGGCUUGACCCGCUUUUUGAAAGCGUGGGCCAUCUUCCUCUGAUACGCACGAACAUGGUCUGCUGCUCUCAAUCUCCUCUCAUUUAGGAGAUUGAGCUGAUCAAAUUGAGCCUGAGCCCAAUCUGCCUCGGGAAUCUGCUGCUCUAGUGCUACUCUCAACGAACCCAUCUCAAUCUCAACGGGUAGCAUCGCCUCCAUGCCAUAUACCAAGGAGUAGGGUGUGGCGCCUGUAGAGGUGCGAAAAGAAGUUCGAUAAGCCCACAAUGCAAAUGGGAGCUUCUCCGACCAAUCCCGAGAAGUCUCGACCAUCCUCCGUAAUAUCCUCUUGAUAUUCUUAUUUGCGGCCUCUACUGCCCCAUUCGUCUGCGGCCUGUACGCAGACGAUCUAUGAUGCCGGAUGCCGUAUCUCUGUACUAAGGUGUCAACCUCUGCUCUGAAAUGUACUCCUCUGUCUGAAAUCAACUCAUGAGGGACUCCAUAGCGACAGAUAAUGUGUGAUCUGAUGAAACUAGCAACUCCAGACGAUGUCAAUCUCGCAUACGAAGCGGCCUCCACCCACUUGGUGAAGUAAUCGAUGGCGACCAGGAUGAACUCAUGACCACUGGAAGAUUUCGGUGAAAUCUUCCCGAUGAUAUCAAUACCCUAGACGGAAAAUGGCCAUGGUGAAGUCAGUGCGUGCAGCUCGGAGGGCGGCACGUGAAUGAGAUCUCAGUGUAUCUGACACUCGGGACACCUCUGAACAAACUGGCAGCAAUCUGUCUCCAUGGUCAACCAGAAGUAUCCUGUCCUCAUGAUCUUACGAGCCAACAUAUGUCCUCCCAUAUGUGGUCCGCAAACUCCCGCAUGAACCUCUCUCAUCACCCGAUCGGCAGAGGCACGGUCCAAACACAAUAAUAGCAUCCCGUCAGGUGAUCGCCUGUACAGUGUCUCGCCGCAAAUCACGAAUCGAGUGGCCAACUGUCUCAAUGCUCUCUUAUCCUUGGCCGUGGCGGCCUCAGGAUAUACGCCGAGUCUCAAAAAGUGAUAUAUGUCAUGAUACCAGGGCAAACCAUCGUCUAUCUCCAUAUCAUCAAUCAAACAACAAUAUACAGGAGCAGAUCUCGACUCAAUCAACAAAGAGCGAACAGUGGCAUCAACGGGAAUAUCGAUCAUGGAAGCUAGAGUAGCUAAAGCAUCAGCAAACUGGUUCUGCGCUCUAGGCAGAUGGGUAUAUCUCAAAUCAUCAAAUCUCCCAACCAGUAGCUCCAAAUAUGCAUGAUAAGGCUUAAGCUUCACAUCUCUAGUCUUCCACUCGCCCUGAAUCUGUCUCAAUACCAGAUUGGAGUCACCAAACACCUCCAUCUGUCUAAUCCCGAGCUCGAGGGCCGUCUCCAAUCCCAAGAUACAAGCCUCAUACUCAACAAUGUUGUUCGUGGCAGGAUGUCGAUCCGAGAAUGCCAAACGAACAGAUCUGGGAAUGUGAUCACCGUGAGGGGAUAUCAACAAGACGCCUAUCCCAUAUCCAGAAUGGUUGGCCGCACCAUCAAAGUACAUGCGCCACCCCGACAGACUAGUCACAGCAGCGACAUCCUCGUCUGGAAAAUCAUCGUCAAUAGCUCUGGCGUCAGAAACUGGUAAUGAGGCUAGAUGAUCUGCUACAAUGCUCCCUCUGAUGGACUUCUGAGUGACAUAAUGGAUGUCAAACUCAGUUAGAAGCACCAACCAUCUCAUGAGGCGACCAACCAAAGCAGGUCUAUCAAACAAAUAUCUCAGAGGAUCCAAGCGAGAUAUCAAAUGCACGGAAUACUCGGUCAUGUAAUGUCUCAAACGGUGAGUGGCCCAAACCAAUGCCAAACAAUAACGCUCAAUCAUGACAUACCUCGUCUCGUAGUCUAACAUCCUCUUACUCAAAUAGUAAAUGGCUCGAUCCUUGCCCGAAUCAUCGAGCUGAGCUAACAUGCAACCCAAGGCCACGUCUGAUACGGACAAGUAUAAGAGUAGAGGACGGCCUGGUGUAGGAGGCGCCAAAACAGGAGGUGACAACAAGUACUCUCUGAUCCUCUCGAAGGCACGCUGGCACUGGUCAUCCCAAACAGUAGGUUGACUCUUCCUCAAGAGUCGAAAUAUGGGUUCGCAGAUGUCUGUCAAUCUGGCUAUGAAUCUACUGAUGUACUGAAGUCUGCCCAGGAAGCCUCUGACCUCUCUCUCUGUCCUCGGCGCAGGCAUGUCAAGAAUGGCUCUAAUCUUGUCCGGAUCUACCUCUAUGCCUCGCUCACUGACCAUGUAUCCCAAGAGUUUCCCAGAAGUCACUCCGAAAGUGCACUUCUUGGGAUUCAGUCUCAAUCUGAACUGUCUGAUCCUCUCAAAGAACCUCUCAAGAGCUGCCAAGUGAUCUGAUCUAUCUCGGGAUUUCACUAUCAUGUCGUCUACGUAAACCUCGACAUCCCGAUGCAUCAUGUCAUGGAAGAGUGUGGUCGCUGCUCUCUGAUAUGUGGCUCCCGCGUUCUUCAAUCCGAAUGGCAUGACUCUAUAGCAAUAAGUACCCCACUCGAUAAUGAAGGAUGUCUUCUCCAUGUCCUCUGGAGCCAUCAAGAUCUGACUGUACCCGGAAAAUCCGUCCAUAAAGGACAACAUCGAAUGACCUGUCGUGCUGUCAACUAGCAUGUCGAUGUGUGGAAGAGGAAAAUCAUCCUUAGGACUGGCCUUGUUGAGAUCUCGGAAAUCAACACAGACUCUCACCUUGCCGUCCUUCUUGGGAACAGGGACGACAUUGGCCAGCCACUCUGGGUACUCAACCACUGAUAAGAAUCCUACACUAAGCUGCUUCUGGAUCUCCUCUUUCACCUGCAAGCUCCAACGAGGGUGCAAUCGUCUCAACUUCUGCUUAACCGGUCUGGCAUGGGACAGAAGUGGCAAACGAUGCUGGACGAUAGAUGGAUCAAGGCCUGGCAUGUCCUCAUAGGACCAUGCGAAAACGUCCAAGUAGGAUCUGAGUAGCUGGAUGAGGCUGUCCCUCUCAUCUGUAGACAAAUCCGAUCCGAUCCUCAACUCCCUAGGCUAAUCUGCCGUGCCAAAGUCAACAAUCUCGGUGUCCCCUACAGCAGGUGAAACUCUCUGAUCAACGGGGUCUGAAUCGGAAGCAGAAGACGAAUCAUCGUCUGAGUCAUGCUGCGCAAUCUCAUCAUCAAUGUCAAAAAUCUGUGAUGUGGGUGAAGAUGGUGCAGAUAAAUCAAUAACAUGAGAGACGGGCAAAUACUCAAAGGUGCUCAAAUCCAUAGAUGAAAAGUCAGAAACAUAGUCAUGACGGGAGACAAAUCCCGAUAAAACAUCAAAGGUGAGAGGUGGGUCCACAAGGUCGGACGCUCCCUCAACUAGGCCAACAGGGCCAUCAAACAAAUCAACAGCAACUAUAACAUCCUCGACGGCCUCUGGAGUGGGGGCAACCUGGAUCUUCUCGGCGAUCUCGAGGACGGACACCCCAAAGAGAUCAAAAGGUGAAGCGAGCUCCGGCGGGGCCAUCUCCUCGGUCUGGCUCAAACUCGUCGCGAGCAUCUCAUCAACGUACUCGUCACGCGGCACGGCUCCAUCCGCUACGUCUCCAAUCUCGGCAAAAGUCCCGUGAUCAUCGAUCUCAUCCGGGAAGCAAUGCGUCAUAAGGCUCGUGCGAUCUGGGGAAAGAGGAGCAAUCAACACAGAAGCCGAAGGGCCAGGGGCUCCGUCACUCAACUGUAACUGCUGGACGAGGCGCUGAAGUUCGGCCUCCUGGGUGGUGCUGAGUCCUCCGAUGAUCCCAUCAGAUGGUGCAUGUGACUCCGAUGCCCUCACAAAGUAAUCAGAUAAGCUCCUGGUGUAUGGGCGAAGAGGAUAGUCGAAAGGCGUGUGGGUCAGCCGAGCCCUCGCUCUCUCCUUGCGCAAACGCGCCAUGUAUCGAUAGUCAGCCUCGGUGGGGAUGAACCCAAGCCCAAAUGGUACGUCAUGAUCAGGGAUGGUGAUGAACUCGCUCGGUCCAUGCUGACGUCGACCCAACCCCAUGCCGGGUA